AGUGAACGCUGGCGGUAGGCCUAACACAUGCAAGUCGAACGGCAGCACAGUAAGAGCUUGCUCUUACGGGUGGCGAGUGGCGGACGGGUGAGGAAUACAUCGGAAUCUACUUUUUCGUGGGGGAUAACGUAGGGAAACUUACGCUAAUACCUCAUACGACCUACGGGUGAAAGCAGGGGAUCUUCGGACCUUGCGCGAUUGAAUGAGCCGAUGUCGGAUUAGCUAGUUGGCGGGGUAAAGGCCCACCAAGGCGACGAUCCGUAGCUGGUCUGAGAGGCUGAUCAGCCACACUGGAACUGAGACACGGUCCAGACUCCUACGGGAGGCAGCAGUUGGGAAUAUUGGACAAUGGGCGCAAGCCUGAUCCAGCAAUACCGCGUGGGUGAAGAAGGCCUUCGGGUUGUAAAGCCCUUUUGUUGGGAAAGAAAAGCAGCAGGCUAAUACCCCGCUGUUCUGACGGUACCCAAAGAAUAAGCACCGGCUAACUUCGUG
rnacentral:rRNA from 1 species